GCCAUGGAGCCAGAGGACUAUGAAAACUACAAACUGUGAGCCAAAACAAACCUUUCCUCCUUUAACUUUGGGUGUCAUGUAUCUUGUCUCAGCAACCAGAAAAGUAACUAAGACAGUUUCCAACCCUAACAGUUCAGAACUCCAUCCUGACUCCUCAGGGUAACAAAGUUUUGGGUUUCCUCCUUAGUUCUAGCCACCCCGUGGCAGGGUCCUCAGUGCAGAAGCCAAGUGAAUAUGGAUCUCCCCCACGUGAUUCCUUCUCUCAGGACAAAUCCGCUUCGUUUCUGCCUGCUGUGGCUCCUGCCCAGUGCAAGGGUUUGAGUUUCUGACCUGCAUCAGCUUCUCUCUGAAGAACCUUUCCUGUGUCUUGCAAGGCAGGGCUACUGGCAGCAGAUUUCUUCCUUUUUUGGCUCAGAAAAUCUUCAUUGCUCCUCCUCUUUUGAAGGAGCAGCAGUUGGAUGUAACCAUCACAUUGCUUCUCUACAGCUCUGCUCAUCCACCCUUGAAGUCCACCCCAUCCCAUUUCCAGCACCCCAGCCAGAUGCUGCUGAGGCCCAUGUUUCUGUCUCCACCCUCUGGAAUCUGAGCAGAUUGGAAUAUGAAGGUCUAAGCAUGAAGAGUGUCGAAGACUUAGAAGUUAGAGCCAAGAAGAGGGUUCAUAAAAGGCCCUGCACAGAGCUUCUGGAGAGGGAAAACAUGGGAAGAGAAGGAGGAGUUUUAGGAGGAGCACGGUGACUGUGCCGAGCCUGCCAGGGGGCUCUGAAAGGGGAGACUGAGGCAGGGGGUUAGACUCAGUGACACCAGUCACUGGGGACCCUCCCAAGAGUGCUGCGGGUUUGAAGGAGGCAAAUGCCUUUGUGGAGAGAAUCGAUGUGUGGUAAAGACAUAGAUCUGGCUUCCCCACAUCUCGGUGCCCCAAGGUCAACUGCCAUCUGGAGAGACUAAAUGGACAUUUUCAGAAAUAGACGGUUGGUAAGUUCUCACUUGUGUGCUCCUCUGCGUUUUGUGAUGAAAUCCCUAGGUGUGCCCUGUCCCGCACACGACUGGCAUCAUCCAUUACUGGAGCUUCCACUCCCCAUGUGGCACCUGCCUGACAUUACGGCUCAGGGGUCCAGGGUCACCGAAGUGGAUGAUCCUAAUGAUCCAUCGUCACCUGACGCUGUGUCGCAGUGCCCGCAUCACCAGCUCAUUCGUUCCUUUUGUCACGUGUCAACUCCUGUCAUCAUGGGAGGAAGAGUGUGCACAGUACAAUAGUAUGUUGGGAGGGAGAUGGAGAGGGAGAGAGGAAGAGAGACAGAGAGACAGAGAGAGUGGGAUUGCUGAUGCUGGGUUCUUUCUGUUAGUUUUAUCCAUCCAACAAGUCACCUCCCUUACCUGGGACUACUUGGGAGGAGUAAUGGGAAAGGGACUGGAAUUCCUUUCUAACGGCUUCCCUUGACAUGUGGAGUGGAAUUUUCCUCAUGGCUACUGAAAGGUGAGAAAAGCAGCCCCCUGUGAAGUGACCGUCUCCCACUGUAACUGUCAAUUUAGGUUCCUCUGUCUUUCAGAGUGUGGUUUCCUACGGGCAGUAAUCUCUCUUUUUUUCUUUUUGUAUUAAGAGAUUGAACCCAGGGCCUUUGCACUGAGCUACAUCCCCAGCCAUUUCUUAUUUUUUAUUUUUGAGACAGGGUCUUGCUAAGUUGCUAAGCUGUCCGGGUUAGCCUUGAAUUAGCUCAGCCUCCCACAGUGCUGGGAUUACAGGUGUGUGUCAUCUCACCUAGUUCAGACGGCAAUCCUGACUUGCAUGUCAGUCAUUUUUCUCACUGCUGUGUCAAAGUAUCUGACAUCCACAAUUUAAGGAAGGAGAGGGCUUAUUUUGGCUCAAAGUUUAUAAAGGUUUCAGUUCGUAGUCAGCUGGCUCCAAGGCAGGGUGACAUGGUGGAGGAGAGCAGCUCACUGCAUGGUGGCCAGGAAGCAGAGAGACCGAGGGAGGAGCCAGGGAGGAGAUGCACCCUUCCAGGCCCCACUUCCUAACAGAAAGUCAGCUGUGAGCCCUGUAAUCCAAUCACCUUCUGAGCCCCGCCCAUGAGUGCAGCAGCCUCCCGGGGGAACAUCUAGGGUUACCUUAACAUCUCAUUCAUCCCUGCCCUGAAAGCCUGGCACAGUGCCUGGGGUGUAGUAGGUGCUCAGUAGAGAUUUACUUAAUCCUGAGUGAGUACACUUCAGAUCCAACCAGUCGAGGCUCAAAAGGCUCCGCAAUAUGUCCUGAAACCUCUUAGAAUCUGCUUGACAGAUUUCUCAGCACACCUCAGGCUUAUGUCUAUGUUAAGUGAGCACCAAUGACAGUCAUGGGAAAGAAUGAUCAAGUUCACAAAUUAUCCUUUGGUUUAUGUUUGAAUUCCCAAAGAUAAAUGUUACCUCAGUUAAAUCAUGCUUUAUGCCUCUACUGCAGGUGUUAGGAAAAUAUCGGCUGAGCUCAGCUCCUGGGUAUGAGGUACAGGACCCAGGGAAUUUGCACAUACUAGUGAACUGCGACCUGGGGUUCUUUCAUUAAUGGUCAGUAAUGGUCUGCAAUCAAGCCACACCUGCGAGAGGAAAAUAACAAUUGGCCUGUUUGCUUGGAGUGAGGAUGAUUUAUCAACUUGCUCAUUAUUCGUUCUCUCUCAAGGUAUUAACCAAAGUUGUUUGUGCAGAAAUAAAGAGAGAGAAA